rnacentral:rRNA from 1 species
UACGUAGGGGGCAAGCGUUGUCCGGAUUCAUUGGGCGUAAAGAGCGUGUAGGCGGCCAGAAAGGUCUGCUGUGAAAACUCGAGGCUCAACCUCGAGACGUCGGCGGAAACCAUCUGGCUAGAGUCCGGGAGAGGAGAGUGGAAUUCCUGGUGUAGCGGUGAAAUGCGCAGAUAUCAGGAAGAACACCCGUGGCGAAGGCGGCUCUCUGGAACGGUACUGACGCUGAGACGCGAAAGCGUGGGGAGCGAACAGGAUUAGAAACCCCAGUAGUCC